AGUGGCGAAAGGGGCAGUAAUGCAUGGGUAACCUACCUUGGGGAUGGGCAUAGCCGUUCUAACGGACGGGUAAUUCCCAGAGAUUCAGCGGGGAGGCAUCUCUCUGCUGGGAAAUGAAUUUCGCCUCGAGAGGGGCCCAUGUGCUAUUAGCUAGUUGGUAGGGUAACGGCCUACCAAGGCUAAGAUGGCUAGCGGGUGUGAGAGCACGACCCGCGCCACUGGCACUGAGACACUGGCCAGACACCUACGGGUGGCUGCAGUCGAGGAUCUUCGUCAAUGGGCGCAAGCCUGAACGAGCGACGCCGCGUGCGCGAUGAAGGCCUUCGGGUUGUAAAGCGCGAAAGUGGGGAUAAAACCGUAAGGUUGAUAGAUCCACAGUAAGGACGGGCUAAGUUCGUGCCAGCAGCCGCGGUAAGACGAACUGUCCUAACGUUGUUCGGAAUCACUGGGCUUAAAGGGCGCGUAGGCGGUCCGACAAGUCAGGGGUGAAAUCCUGCAGCUUAACUGCAGAAGUGCCUUUGAUACUGUCGGUCUCGAGGGAGAUAGGGGUGUGCGGAACUUCCAGUGGAGCGGUGAAAUGCGUAGAGAUCGGAAGGAACAUCCGUGGCGAAGGCGGCCACCUGGGCCAACACUGACACUGAGGCACGAAAGCGUGGGGAGCAAACAGGAUUAGAUACCCUGGUAGUCCACGCCCUAAACGAUGCGAACUGGAUGUUGGGUUCAACUUGGAACCCAGUAUCGAAGCUAACGCGUUAAGUUCGCCGCCUGGGGAGUACGGUCGCAAGACUGAAACUCAAAGGAAUUGACGGGGGCCCGCACAAGCGGUGGAGUAUGUGGUUUAAUUCGAUGCAACGCGAAGAACCUUACCUGGUCUUGACAUCCACGGAACUUUCCAGAGAUGGAUUGGUGCCUUCGGGAACCGUGAGACAGGUGCUGCAUGGCUGUCGUCAGCUCGUGUCGUGAGAUGUUGGGUUAAGUCCCGCAACGAGCGCAACCCUUGUCCUUAGUUGCCAGCACGUAAUGGUGGGAACUCUAAGGAGACCGCCGGUGACAAACCGGAGGAAGGUGGGGAUGACGUCAAGUCAUCAUGGCCCUUACGACCAGGGCUACACACGUACUACAAUGGGAAGGACAGAGGGCUGCAAUCCCGCGAGGGUGAGCCAAUCCCAGAAACCUUCUCUCAGUCCGGAUCGGAGUCUGCAACUCGACUCCGUGAAGUCGGAAUCGCUAGUAAUCGCAGAUCAGCAUUGCUGCGGUGAAUACGUUCCCGGGCCUUGUACACACCGCCCGUCACACCAUGGGAGUGGGUUGCACCAGAAGUAGCUAGUCUAACCUUCGGGAGGACGGUUACCACGGUGUGAUUCAUGACUGGGGUGAAGUCGUAACAAGGUAAC
rnacentral:rRNA from 1 species